AAGACCUGUUGUGUUUAACCUGACAUCCUGCUGAGUUCUAGACCAUUAAUUCAGUAUUUUUAUUACAGCUUCAUCAUGGUGAACUCUUUGGCGCAAUCAACAACAUGCAAUUCUCAAAGAUGGUGAUAUUCAUGACCAGCAGUUACUCUGCAACAAUGUUCGAAGAUCUUUCCUGUAACGUAGAUGGUAAGGGGAAAAAAACUAACAGCCAUGCCUUAUAUGUAAUCAAAUCAUUUUCCAAAAAAUAAAAUAAAAUAAAAAAGUUCUGAUCUGCUCUGAUUCUGUCACCCAGCCUUUGCGUUUACUGCAUGUGACAGAUAUGUCCAGAGCUGUCCCAGUGAUUACGAUGAAAUCAGGAAAAUCUACUGCUCUGAUAAAUUCUCAUCUGCUUGGAUAAAGUUCAUUAAUGAGGCUGACUUUAAUACAGCAACAUUCCAAAAGAUGAUAGCUGCUAAACAAGCUAAUUACCUUAAACAAAAUACUGGUCCCUGCCCCUGCCAGUUCGGGAACACGACAAUCAGUCACUGUCACCUCAGUGAGUUUCUCAGUGAGUGACCCUCCAAGCUGAUCGAACAGCGUUCAAGAAAACAUCUUUCUGAUGGGGGCAAGAAAAUGACAUGAGUAAAUAAGAGUAAUCUGAUGACCUUUUUUGCUAGUCUUUUAUGUUGAUCAAGACUACAUGUGUUCAAUCCAAAAUAGAGCCUAAAACAGUAAUAUUGUGAGAAAUUUUGUAAACAAUAAAACUGGGAAUAAGGUUAAACGUCCAGUGAUUGUAUGUGUUAUUAAUCAUGCAUGAAUUUGACCCCCUCUUUAAUUCUGCAGAAACCAUUAAUCUUCCCCCAAUACUAAUACAUGUAUCACUGAACCUAGUUAUGUUAACCAAUAAAUAGAUGGUCUCACAAAUAAUGUUAUAAAGUGAUAAAGCUAUCAAGUGAAUGAUUCAUAUUGAAGCAACGAAAAUCAGAGAAAUAGAUGGUGAUCAAUUUCUGGCAAUCGUCAACUAAAAUGAAACAUAAAAGUAGCUUGAUUCCUUUGACAGGUGUAAAUGUUGAAUUUCAUUUACUGACGCUCUACAAUCGCCAGCGCUAAACCCCGAAGC